rnacentral:tRNA from 1 species
GACGAGAUGUCCGAAUCGGUAAGGAGCCGGAUUGGAAAUCCGGUAUGCGAGUCAUCGCUGUAUGGGUUCGAGUCCCAUUCUCGUCG